rnacentral:rRNA from 1 species
CGGACGGGUGAGUAACACGUGGAUAAUCUGCCCUGCACAGGGGGACAACAGCUAGAAAUGGCUGCUAAUACCGCAUAAGCCUACAGCCUCGCAUGAGGGAGUAGGAAAAGAAAUUCGGUGCAGGAUGAGUCCGCGUCUGAUUAGCUAGUUGGAGGGGUAAAAGCCCACCAAGGCAACGAUCAGUAGCCGGCCUGAGAGGGCGACCGGCCACAUUGGGACUGAGACACGGCCCAAACCCCUACGGGAGGCAGCAG